rnacentral:sRNA from 1 species
GGGAAGCAUGACCUCAUGUUUUGUCAGAUGCACCAAAUUUUCAAGAGAAAAGCCAGAGAGCUGAAUAUUUGUGUGAAAUUUCCUGAUUUUUAAAAGUUGGCAAUUGUAUCAAAUUAGGAUUAUACUCCACUAAACAUAACAUAAAAUCAAAAAGAACAUGCAGCAUAAAUGAGAGAAAUGUUUUCCUUCAUUAGAGGCAGUUCAGUGGCUCCACAGAGAUCAGGGACCCAGGUUCCUUCCAGCUUUCUGCUCUAUCAUUCCUAGGGGGUGACCUUUAUCUUCAUGGCCCAGUGUGACUGCAAGAGCUCUAGCAUCCAAGUUCCCAGCAGAAGGAUGGAGGACUGACUGGAAAAACAAGGAGACACAGGGUAUGCAUCGGAGUCCCCUCUUGUUGCCCAGGCUGGAGUGCAGCAGCAUGAUUACAGCUCACAUCAGCCUCGACCUCCCGGGCUCAAGCUAUCCUCCUACCUCAGCCUCCCAAGUAGCUGGGACUAUAGGAUCUUUCUGCUGAUGCAGCUGUUAAGAGUGUUUCAUAAACUGUGACAACACUGAGACUUGAAGAAGCUGAGUGAGAAGGCCAUGCAGAUAUCUUGGAGAAGUGCAUUCCAGGCAGAGGAAAAGCCAGUGCAGAGACACUGAAGCAGGGCAUGACUGAUGUGUAUAAGGAGCAUCAUAUACAUGAUCAUCUACAGUCCACUGAGAAUAGCAGACGAAAGGCCAGGUGCAGUGCAUGUAAUCCCAGCACUUUGGGAGACUGAGAUGGGAAGAUCGCUUGAGGCCAGGAGUGCAAGACCAGCCUGGGCAACACAGCAAGACCUUGACUCUACUAAAAAAAAAAAAGGAUCCUUCAACUUCAACAAUAAUAACACGAGGGAAGUGAAGAAAAACACUUUCUAAGGAAAUCUCUCUCUGAGCUACCAUCCUGCUAGGGAGAGCCUGAAAGCAGAAUGCUGACUUGACUAGCUCUGGUCAAUGAAAGAAAUCACUAGUGGAAAGGCUACCAGGGGGCUUUCUCAAAAGAGAGGGACAGUAAACUGCAAGAUGAACAACUCAAUGCCAUCCAGGUCUGGAUGAGAAAGAACAGUCG